GACGAACGCUGGCGGCGUGCUUAACACAUGCAAGUCGAGCGGGAAACUUCGGUUUCCAGCGGCGGACGGGUGAGUAACACGUGGGCAACCUGCCUCACAAUGAGGGAUAGCCUUCCGAAAGGAAGAUUAAUACCUCAUAAUACAAGAAAAACGCAUGUUUUUCUUGCCAAAGAAUUUCGUUGUGAGAUGGGCCCGCGGCGCAUUAGCUUGUUGGUGAGGUAACGGUUCACCAAGGCUGCGAUGCGUAGCCGACCUGAGAGGGUGAUCGGCCACAUUGGAACUGAGACACGGUCCAGACUCCUACGGGAGGCAGCAGUGGGGAAUAUUGCACAAUGGAGGAAACUCUGAUGCAGCAACGCCGCGUGAGUGAUGAAGGUCUUCGGAUUGUAAAGCUCUGUCUUCUGGGACGAUAAUGACGGUACCAGAGGAGGAAGCCACGGCUAACUACGUGCCAGCAGCCGCCGUAAUAC
rnacentral:rRNA from 1 species